UUCGACCCAAAAAAAAUAAAAGCAAGGAAAGCGGCAACCGUGGGAAAUAUCGAAAUUCUUAAGUUUUCUUCGCUUGUAGUUCUGACCCUCUUUUUUCUACUGCUUGUUGUUCUUGGCUGUAUGAACAAAAUGAUAUAUAAGGAGUCCUUUGUGGGAAUUCUUCAUUGGUUCUUUUUAUCCUCUGUCAGCUUCUGGAAUUAACUUUGUUUGAAAGAGCAUUUGAAAUUCUUGGAGUAGAUUGGAAGGAUAGUCAAAUCUGAAGGUACCCGUGGACUGGAGGAUUGCUUUUGGAGGUAUAUUCUAAAAUGGUUCAUGUUAAUUUAUUUAUUAUUUUUCAAUGGAUAAAUCAUGGAUUACAAAGCUACGGAACACAAACGAAUACUCGCUUGGUUUGGAUAAAUUUCUUGAUUUUGCGUUUAAGAAUGCGGCUGUGGAAGAUACAAUUAGAUGCCCAUAUCCUAAAUGUGGCUUUGUCAAGUGGAAAACUAGAGAGAUAGUGCACGAUCAUUUGAUUUGCAAGCCAUUCCCUCAAAAUUAUGUUAUUUGGAAUCUUCACGGUGAGAAACAGGUAGUAGAGCCUUCUGGAGAUAGAGAUGUUAUGCAAGAGAUGGUUCACUCAGAAAAUCCAAUAGAAACAAUGAUUAAUGAUGCAUUUGGACACUACAGGCACCAAGCGGCUGAUGUAGGGAUAUCUCAACCAUUGGACUCCAAUGAAAUAUCAAAUGAGGGGCAUAGGGAAGAUUCUGGUGACUUUCAUGAUUUUCUCAAAGAUGGAAGUGAAACACUGUAUGAAGCCAGCAAGUUCACAAAGCUAGAGUUUUUAAUAAAAUUGUAUCAUAUAAAGGUCUAUUGUGGAUUAAGUGACAAGGCAAUGACUAUGAUACUAGAUUUGUUGAGAGAUGCAUUUGAAGAUGCAAAGUUAUCUCCUUCCUUUUAUGAGGCCAAAAAAACCAUUAGCAAACUUGGCCUUGACUACAUCAAGAUUCCUGCAUGUCCAAAUAAUUGUAUGUUAUACUGGGAGUUACCUCCUUCCUUUUACGAGGCCAAAAAAACCUUUAGCAAACUUGGCCUUGACUACAUCAAGCUACCUGCAUGUCCAAAUAAUUGUAUGUUAUACUGGGAAGAUGACUCAGAAUUGGAAGCAUGUAAGCAUUGUGGUACAUCUAAAUGGAAUCCUAACAAGAAGAAAAAGCAAGCUGCAAAGGUUCUACGUUAUUUUCCAUUAAAAUCAAGGUUACAAAGAUUAUUUAUGUGUUGUAAGACUGCUGAGCAUAUGAGAUGGCAUGCUUCAAGCAGUAACGAGGAUGGGAUGAUGAGGCAUCCAAGGGAUGGUGAGGCCCGGAAAACAUUUGAUCGGACUCAUUUUGGAUUUGCUUCGGAUCCUCGAAAUGUUCGUUAGGCCUUGCUACUGAUGGUUUCAGUCCUUUUGGAACAAUGAGUACUACCUAUAGUAUUUGGUCAGUCUUCUUGAUUCCAUACAAUCUUCCUCCUUGGAUGUGUAUGAAGCACACCUCCUUCAUCUUAUCAAUGAUGCUUGCCUGGAAAUAAUAUAGAUGUGUACUUACAGCCCCUCGUGAAGGAAUUAUGUGAGUUAUGGAAUGAGGUGUUGAAACGUUUGACUCAUCAUUGAAUGAAAAUUUUAGAAUGCAUGCAGCUCUUAUGUGGACAAUCAGUGACUUUCCUGGAUUAGGUAUCCUAUCUGGCUGGAACACACAUACUGGUUUUGCUUGCCCAACUUGUAACUUUGACACAGAACCUUGUCGUCUUCGUCAUAGUAAAAAGUGGUAUUUUAUGGGUCAUCUACGUUUUCUGAGAAGAAAUCAUAGGUUUAGGUUGAAUCGAGUACGCUUUAAUGGAAGUACAGAGGAGCGGAAUCCACCAUCGAAAUUAUCAGGGUCGGACAUUUUGAGACAAAUUGAAGAAAGGAGAGGAGCAGAGUUGAAUGUUAGCGGGAAAAGAUCUAGAAGAGAAACUAAACAAUGGAACAAGAGAAGUAUAUUCUUUGAACUUCCUUAUUGGAAAUCUAACUUGUUACGUCAUAAUCUAGACUUUAUGCAUAUCGAAAAGAAUAUAUGUGACAAUAUCAUAUAUACGUUGCUCCAUGAUAAAUCAAAAUCAAAAGAUAAUAUUAAUGCCCGAAAGGAUCUAAAAGAAAUGGGCAUAAGGCCUGAUCUUUGGCCGGAUGAUAGUGGAAAAUAUCAUCUUGUUGUGUUUUCACUUGUGACUGAUAAAAAAAAAAGAAGUUGGACACCAAAAAGUUGUUCCUUACAACUUUGAAGAAUAUUAAAGUACCAGAUGGCUACUCAAGUAACAUUUCCAGAUGUGUUGAUUUGGUACAAAAAAAGAUUUUUGGAUUGAAAAGUCAUGAUUGCCAUAUUAUUUUAGAGCAAUUGCUACCAUUGGCGAUCUGCAAUGUGUUGCCAGACCAUGUAGUUGCAGUUUUGGUGGACUUUUGCUUAUUUUUUCGUGCCCUUUCUAGCAAAAAUUUGAAUAUUUUGGAGCUUGAUAAGCUCCAAGAGCGCAUUGAAAGCAUACUUUGUCACAUAGAGAUACUAUUUCCUCCAUCUUUCUUUACAGUAAUGGUUCAUUUGUCUGUCCAUCUAGCAGAAGAAGCAAAACUGGGAGGUCCAGUGCAUCACAGAAACAUGUAUCCUAUUGAGAGGUAAAACAUUAACAUUUCUAAUUUGAAUAUACUUGUAUUCUGUUCAUUUUAAAUAGUUUGUACACUUAUUUCCUAUAAUUUUUGUAGGGAUUUAGGCCAUUUUAAGUCAUUUGUACGAAAUAAAGCACAACCAGAGGGUUCUGUAGCUGAGGGUUACUUAGCUGAAGAGUCUAUUACGUUUUGUUCUCGGUAUAUUGAGGAUAUUGUGACAAGAUUCAAUAGACCUAGGCGUGUUCGUGAUGACCCAAAUGUCACUGAGCCUUCUGGAAGGUCCUCUAUCUUCCCUCAAUUAGGUAAACCUGCAUCAGCUUCGGUUACAUUCCCUUUAACUCAGAUGCAGAAACUACAAGCUCAUCGAUAUGUGCUUCUGAACUGUGCAAUUGUCACUCCAUUUGUGGAGUGAGUAACUCAUACAAACUUUAUAUUCUUUAUCAUUGUAAUUUUUGAAGUAGGCUAGUCAUUUUCGCCAUUUGUGGAGUGAGUAAAUCAUACAAACUUUAUAUUCUUUAUCAUUGUAAUGUUUGAAGUAGGCUAGUCAUGUUCUUUAAAGUUAAUGUAAUUAUUUCAUAUAGCGAAUUUAGACAGUACAUAAGGAGGAGUUCAAGAAGAAGACCAUCGCCUACUGAGAUAGAGAGGAGAGUUAAUAAAGAGUUUGUUGAUUGGUUCCAAAAGUGGGUAAGUAAUCAUUAGUUAUUAUUUACAUUUGAUUUUAAUGACACUAAGACAAUUUUAUUUUGAUUUAGAUUAUGAAUCCAGACACAAUAGAUACAAUGUCUAUUAAUGACAACAACAACAACAACAACUACCCAGUACAUUUGAUUUUAAUGACACUAAGACAAUUUUAUUUUGAUUUAGAUUAUGAAUCCAGACACAAUAGAUACAAUAUCUAUUGAUCUAAAGUUUCUUGCACGAGGUCCAUCGGCACAUGCAAGAAGUUUUACUGCAUAUAACAUCAAUGGGUCCAAAUUUCGAACUUUGGCCCGAGAAGAAGAUCUACAAACACAGAAUAGUGGAGUUUUCUUAACCUCUAAAACAUCAUGUAUUGCAAGUAGUGUAGACGGAAAUUUAAGGCAAGCAGAGUUACCAUAUUAUGGGAAGAUAGAAGAUAUUAUUGAGAUUAAUUAUAAUGGUCGGUUCAAGGUGGUUCUUUUCAAAUGUAGAUGGGCUGAUACUGCCCGAGAUAGAGGGUAUAAAAAGGAUCGUUGGAAAUUGUGUUAAUUUUGAUAAAUUGAUUCAUACAGGUGAACGUGAAGAACAUGAGCCUUAUAUCGAAGCAUCUCAAGCACAACUAGUGUACUAUGUGGAUGAUGUUGUCAAUAAAGGGUGGAGUGUUGUUGUGCAUCUAAAGCCAAGAGAUCUAUAUGAUAUGGGACAAGUAGUGGAAAAAUGAUGUAUAUGAGAAUGAACCAUACCAAGAACAAGAACUCGAACAGUUCUUUAGUGAUGGUGAUGAGUAUGUACAAGAAGUAGUGGAAAAUGAUGUAUUUGAGAAUGAACCAUACGAAGAGCAAGAACUCGAACAGUUCUUUAGUGAUGGUGAUGAGUAUGUACAACUAGCUACGGACCAUAUAAUUGAUGAUGUAGUAGAGGCAAAUACUGCUACUAACUUAGCAUCAGAUACAUGCAUGUUUGAAUAGAUCUUUUUUAAUAUGUUGCUUUAUAUGAAGGUAACAGUACUGCAUAACUAAGUAAUAUUUAAUUCAUUUAAGACAAGAGGUGUUGCUCUGAUGGUAAGCAACCCCCACUUCCAACUGAGAGGUUGUGAGUNNNNNNNNNNNNNNNNNNNNNNNNNNNNNNNNNNNNNNNNNNNNNNNNNNNNNNNNNNNNNNNNNNNNNNNNNNNNNNNNNNNNNNNNNNNNNNNNNNNNNNNNNNNNNNNNNNNNNNNNNNNNNNNNNNNNNNNNNNNNNNNNNNNNNNNNNNNNNNNNNNNNNAGCCUCUCUACCCAAGGGUAGGGGUAAGGUCUGCGUAUACACUAUCCUCCCCAGACCCCACUAAGUGGGAUUAUACUGGGUUGUUGUUGUUGUUGGUGUAUAGGUACGUUUAGAAAUGGUAUCCGUAUAGAUAUAUGAUCACAUGAUAUGGAAACUCCAACCACUGCAGUGUUACCUGUCACUACGGCUGCUGCAGGUACUUGUUUCAUCAUUAAGGUUGCAGCUGAUCAUGGAGUAGAUUGGCUGUUUUGUUUUUAUUUAUUGUUUACUUGGUGAAGUAAUUCUGAAACUGAGGGUUUUUGGUUUCUUGUUGUGUUUGGUGUUUGUUUGUUUUGUUUGCUUUGUAUGUCUUGUCUUAUGUUCUAAGAAGGCAAUAUUGGGCUACUUGACCCACUGUGCUGACAAUGGGUGUGACCAGACUUCUUUAGUUUUUAUGUACAAGGAAGACCAAAGAGGCCGGGCCACCCACUGUGCUGACAAUGGGUGUGAGCAGACUUCUGUAGCUUUUAUGUACAAGGAAGACCAAAACAGGUCUUGUUCAUCUUCAUCUAGGAAUUGAAUGUUUGAUAUUUACAAAUAUUUUCUGAAUACACUGUAAAAUUCUACUCCUUAUAUUGUUUUACUUAUAUUUCUUAAUACAUAAUUCAUUUAUUCUUUCAAAAUCAUUUUAAUAGGGAAAUGCAAAUACUCACUCUCGUAUCGUUUAAAGUAUAUGUCAUGCUGCAAUUUUCAAUUGUAUAAAUUCAUUUAUUCUUUCAAAAUUAUUUUAAUAAGGAAAUUCAAAUACUCACUCUCGUAUCGUUUAAAGUAUACGUCAUGCUGCAAUUUUCAACUGUAUCUUCAUUGACAAUGAGGCAUUAACAAACACGAAGACUGAAUUCAUGGCUUUAUGGGAUGGUUUUACCACAGAUUGUAGGUUCAUUCCUUAAUGAGAUGAUUUCCUUAUUAGUAGCUUUCAUUCACCAAUCACCACUCAUUUGCUGCAAAAUUUUCUCAGCAAGUUAUGCAAUUUGAGAUGGUCAUGUCUCUUAGCUAGUUAAUGUGGUCUAGUGAGAAAGUUUUGUGACUUUAUUUACUGAGAUAAUGCCCAGGUUAUGGUACUUGCUGCUACUAAUAGGCCAUCUGAGCUUGAUGAAGCAAUUCUUCGACGCCUUCCUCAGUCCUUUGAGAUCAGUAUGCCUGACUGCAAAGAGAGCUGAGAUUUUGAAGGUUAUUCUGAGGGGCGAGAAGGUACAAGAUAACGUUGACGCAAUUCUUCGACGCCUUCCUGAGGCCUUUUGAGAUCAGUAUGCCUGACUGCAAAGAGAGAGCUGAGGUUUUGAAGGUUAUUCUGAGGGGCGAGAAGGUACAAGAUAACGUUGACUAUAACCGCAUUGUUGGAUUGUGUGAUGGAUACAUUGGUUCAGAUCUUCUUGAGCUCUGUUAAAAAGCUGCCUACUUUCCCAUCCGGGACCUGCUUGAUGAUGAGAAGAGUGGAAAGCAAUCUGCGGUUAUGUUCGUGGGACCAACCUACCAAUUCCUGAAAUGUUUCCUAACAUGUUUCCUUUAGCAUCGGGCCAGGUACUGUCAGCACUCCCUUUUCAGUUGUGUGAAUUCGAUGCUUUUAUCUCAAUAUGCCGUGAUGAUAAAAAUGGAAUGUCAAUCCUAUUGAGACAAGCUAAGAAAUAAAGUGCACAUAAACCUGGAUAGAGGAGCUUGUAGCAGAUAUCAAGUUUGAUAUCACAUGGUUUUUGUUGUGGAACUUUAGUGUUUCAUAUCUUAAGCAUGUUUAAUUGUUCCAUUCAUAGAAAAAGAAGUAAUCUUGUAUUUUUCAUUAACUAUCCUCUGGUUAGGAAAUGGAAAAGUAAACGCCCGGUCAGCUUUUCCAUAACGAGAGUCACGUUGUUGUUUCUUGAAGAAGUAUUGAUACCAACGUGCAAUUACAAUAUAGCAUGGGAUGUGGGGACCCCUUUACCAAAAGAAGAUUUCGCAGUCUCUUCUUAUCCUAUGAAUGUGUAAUACUAAUAUUUUAUAACUGAUGCUGUAGAAAGCAAAAGUGACCUGAUGGUUAGUAACUUCCCUCUGGGAGAAGUUAUUCCAAGGUGGUUUGCAUUCACGAAAAGGAGGUCUAGAUGGAGUGGAAUGUAGAAAGUAAAAAUGACCUGAUGGUUAGUAACUUCCCUCUGGGAGAAGUUAUUCCAAGGUGGUUUGCUUUCAGGAAAAGGAGGUCUAGAUUGGAGUGGAAUGAAUAUUGAAGUUUUGUUUAACCAACCUCAACUAUUUUGGUAUUGAGGUAGUAGCAGUUGUUUUUUGGUGUUGGUAUGAUAGUGCAGCUAUCAGGGGGGAACAGAUUGUUCCACAUUCUGAGGAGGACCAAAAAGCUAAAUUGUAUUUAUGUUCGAAGUAUCUGGAAACGUUUACUCAUGUUAAGGACCGGGAGAAGUUGUAGAAUUGUCUAUCGAUCUAUUGGUUGGGAUGAUUGAUUUACUUUUGUUUCAAUUGAAUAUUGAACUAUAUCUUCAAGGGAAUUAGGAUCUAUGUUUUCACAAAAACUCUUGGGGAAGACAGAGAAACAGCAGUUACAAGCAACAGCAACAUUACUCCCACUAAAAAGCUUAAUCCUAAGGCAUCCACUUUCUCCUCUCAAGCCAAUUCUGUGUCUAAUUAAAACCAAGAAGGUCACGGGUUAUCUAGAACGAAGAGUAGAUUGAACCCAAUCUUACUACUAUAUCAUUCUGGUAUUUCUAAUAGAUGCGGCCGGGUUCAGUUUCUUAGUCCAUCAAACUGUUUCUUAUCCCAAUCAUGUCUCUCUGUUACCAUGAUUUAUCGUCCUGUUGAAACAGUACAUGUUUUCAUUGUCUGAAUUGUAGAAAAUAUCUUUGCUUGCAAGUUCAUGAUUUAGCAUGAGAAGCUGGUGUUCUUUUUUGCUACUCAUAUUCAUUAUUCUUUUGGUCUCAAAGGUUGCAUUUCGAGCUCUUGUGGGCACAGGUUAUCAGACUUUGCGUAGCUUGCUGUUGGACUUCUGCCAAUGGCAACCGAGUGAGGCUCUUUUAGAUGCUCUGCUUGAUAUGUUGGUCGAUGGGAAGUUUGAUCUCAAGGCAAGCCCUGUGAUAAAGGUUAGUAGUCUGAAAUCUUGUAUGUGCACCGACAGUAAUAGCAGCCUCUUGUACUUGUUACAGAAAAACACAAGAGCAGCUUUUGUUUCCUCAUGAUUUUAGUAUAUUAAUAACAUGUUAAAUGUGCUUCUCAUAUUAUCUUUUCCUUUCUGCUUUCGUAUUUCAGAAUGAAGAUGUUAUCUUGCUAUAUCUCAGUGUCCUGCAAAAGAUUGGUAUCUUUCCCGCCUUGCUUUAACGUUUUUCCUGUUAUGAUAUUGGCUGAUGUGAUUUCACUGUGACUCUUCAAUUAUCUCCUUUUUAUUUUUGGAAAUAUAGCAUUCUGAAAAUGAUAUUUCUGUUUGCUAACUGGGCAGAGCAACCCUUUUAGACAAGAGGGGGUUGCUCUGAUGGUAAGCAAUCCCCACUUCCAACCGAGAGGUUGUGAGUUCGAGUCUCCNNNNNNNNNNNNNNNNNNNNNNNNNNUAUAAACAUACUAAAUAUAUUAAAAUGCAAAAAAACACAAGAAGAAACUAUAUUAGCACAUUAAUUCUAGCGAUUGGCUAUUAAUUUGUGAUGAUUACGUCUACAUCGCAGUGUAUUUUGGAGGGAGGGAUGCCGGGGGUCUAUUUGGAAAUAGCCUCUCUACCUAAGGGUAGGGGUAAGGUCUGCGUACAUACUACCCUCCCCAGACCCACUAAGUGGGAUUAUACUGGGUUGUUGUUGUAACUGGGCAGAGCAGUGACUCAUUGCGGAAUCAGGGGCUUGAUGUUUUUCUUCAGCUUGUACGAGAUUCAAUGUCCAAUCAAGCUUCUUGUGUCAAAGUAGGGAUGCUAAACUUUCUUCUUGAUUGGUUUCCCCAAGAGGGCAAGGACACUGUAGUCUUGAAAAUUGCACAAUUAAUUCAGGUCAUUGGUGGGCAUAGGAUUUCUGGAAAAGAUAUACGCAAAAUGUUCGCUCUACUCUGGAGUGAAAAAGUAGGGUCACAUCAGCAGUACAGCUCAUUGCUUUGAACCAGCAUGCUGUCAAUGCUCAACGAGAAGGGACCAACUGCCUUCUUUGAUCUCAAUGGCAUGGAAUCGGUGACUGAAACAAUUGUCUUUAUAGCUAUCUGAAAUAUACAUUUAAGUGAAUGAAUGUUGUCUCUUCUUUUUUCGUUUCUCUACUUUCUCUGAGUAACUUCUCAUUUCAAAUUAUGUGAUGUUUGUCCUUCCCUCAUGCAGGGAAUUUUGAUAAAAACUCCAGUUCAGUGGCCAUUGAAUAAGGUUUUUUUUUUACUUGUUGGCUAAGGGUAGAAAGCUUUCCUGGAGGUGGUGGAACAAUGUGACUUUUCAGUUUUCUUACUGAAAGUGGAAGAGGAUGCCUUGGUGUUCUUGGAAAAGAUAAACUUAUAUAUGAGGUGAUAAAAGUUGUUAUUUGCUUUUAAUUGGGGUUUGUUUACACUUCUGUGAAUCUUGAGUUUGGAGUGCAUUAUGAUAUUUGAAUAGGUUACACCAGCCUCUUUUCUUAAGCCACCUUUGCUUGAUGUCUUUGCUAUUAAUAGCUCUGUUACUUUUUACAGUCAAUUAAUCAGAAAAGGCAAUCCAUUGUGCUGCAAGUCAAUCUUGUUAGAAAGAAGUGGCAUUUUUUGUGUUUAACACAUACAAUUGGUAGGACAUUUUCUGGAGGUAGCCAAUUGAAGUGUUAUUUGGACGGAACUCUUGUAUCCUCUGAAAAAUGCAGGUAUUUUGCAUUUUCUCUCUCUCUCUCUCUCUCUCUCCCUCCUGAUGUUUGAUUUUGUUCGAUCUAUUUCCAAUUGAGAAGAGCUUCCUGAACUUCACAAUUUGGUUGCAGAUAUGCCAAGGUAAACGAGCCUCUGACUUGUUGCACUAUUGGCACGAAAUUCAGUUUACCUUCGUAUGAGGAAGAGAGUCCUACACUUACUUCAAAAGAUCCAUCUGCUUUCUAUGGUCAGAUUGGUCCAUUUUACUUGUUCAACGAUUCCAUUGCUUCGAACAUGUGCAAGGCAUUUAUUCUUUAGGACCUAGCUACAUGUAUUCCUUCCUGGAUAAUGAAACUGCAGUUCAUUUGGAUAACCCAUUGCCCAGUGGAGUACUUGAUGUUAAAGAUGGUCUUGCAUCCAAAAUCAUAUUUGGACUUAAUUCACAUGUUCUUUUUUCUUUCUCCUUGAAUUGCUUCCCUGAUUUUUUUUUGUGCUUGUUCAUAUGGAACUAAAAUACUGAAAUUUCUGUAUCAGGCACGUAAUGGCAGGUGUUUGUUUAAUGUUUCACCAAUGGUGGAUCCUGGAUUAGAUAAAAGUUCAUUUGAAGCAACUGUUUUGGUCGGGACACAGCUGUGUUCCAGGCGAUUGCUUCAACAGAUCAUAUAUUGUGUUGGGGGCGUCUCUGAGUUUUUCCCUCUUUUCACCAAGACUGAUUUGUAUGAAAUUGAAGAAGCUAAGCAAGCUGGCCAAGCUUUACUUACCCCGAUUAUAAAGGAGCGUUUAACUGCUAAAGUUAUUGAACUUAUAGCUUCUGUUCUGGAUGAGAAUUUAGCCAAUCAACAACAGAUGCUCCUUCUUUCUGGAUUUCCAAUACUUGGGUUUUUGCUGCAGUCAGUUCCACCUGAGCAGUUAAAUAUGGACACACUGUCUGCUUUAAAACAUUUGUUUAAUGUGGUUGCAAAUGGUGGUAUGUCGCACAAGCUACUUGUGUGUUCUUUUUUGUUGUCUUUGAGUUCAUUAAUUACUUAAUCUCCAACUUUCAGUUUGACGCAGUUUGCCAAAUCUUUGGUUAUGUAUCUCUCUUUAAUUUAUUGCCAGGUUUGUCAGAAAUGCUAGUCAAGGAUGCUAUAUCCCAUAUAUUUCUCAAUCCUGUUGUAUGGGUCUACUCAGUUUACAGAGUUCAACGUGAACUGUAUAUGUUUCUCAUCCAGCAAUUCGAUAAUGAUCCAAGGUUGCUGAGAUGUUUAUGUAGGCUCCCCCGUGUUCUUGACAUAAUUCGACAAUUUUACUGGGAUGAUGUCAAAACUCGUUUUGCUAUUGGAUGUUUAUGUAGGCUCCCCCAAUUUUACUGGGAUGAUGUCAAAACUCGUUUUGCUAUUGGAAGGAAGCCUCUUUUACAUCCCGUGACAAAGCAAGUUAUAGGGGAGAGACCUAGUAAAGAUGAAAUACAUAAAAUUCGUCUCCUUCUAUUGAGUCUCGGUGAGAUGAGUCUCAGGUAGUUUUCUUUUUCUUAGAAAGGAUAUAAUUUUUCUUCUUUUGACUGUUGUAGUGACUGAGUUUUCUUCUUUACUAUGUAAGCUUUCUAGCUCCUGUUCAGCUUUCAUAUUUUUUUUUUUCAGAAAUAGAACUAUUUCUUUUUAUCCACCACCGUUUGAAGAUGUUUUCCUACCAUUUUUUUUAUGCAGGCAGCAUAUUUCAGCAUCAGAUAUAAAAUCUCUCAUAGCCUUUUUUGAAAGUAGCCAGGACAUGGCAUGCAUUGAAGAUGUUCUGCAUAUGGUUAUUCGGGCUGUUUCUCAGAAACAACUGCUUGCAUCUUUCCUUGAACAAGUCAAUAUGAUUGGUGGUUGUCACAUAUUUGUAAAUCUUCUUGAAAGGUACGACCACUAACUGUAGAAACACAUAUUCCAGUUAUCAUAAUUGUCAUAAAUUUUAUUGAAAGGUAUGACAUCAAAUUGUAGAAAUAGUUGAUAUUAUUAAUGUCAAAUAGUUGAUAUUUAUUUUUGAAGAUAUCCCUUGAAGUCACUAUCUGUUGAGAGAGAGAAUCUGCAGGUAGUUUUCUCUUUUUUACCUCAUGGUUAAAGCUGAUUUUCUAUUACCUAUCUCUGAUAUUGCUCUUAUACAUACCUCUUGUUUCUCUUGACACUGAUUCUCAUACAGUCUGUUGCAACCUUCUUUAGUCAUGUUAUAUCUGCAAUAGGAAGAAACACAGCUGGUCCAGGUUAGUUUAACUCCUUUGUCAUAUAAGUACAACUAAAUUUACCUUUCAGAUGCUCAGAGUAUUGUUGAAAAUUUUCAGGGGAUGCUGUUGUCAAUGUCUAUAUAAACUAUGAAAAGAAGUUUGUUUUUGUUGAAAUGAGAUCAGUAGAGGAAGCUAGUAAUGCCAUGGCAUUGGAUGGCAUCAUAUUUGAGGUACCUAAAAUGUGUAAUAGCUGAUCAGUUAGCUACGAUUUAAAGAAGAUAGAAUUUUUACAUUAGAUGGCAUCAUAUUUGAGGUACCUAAAAUGCAUAAUAGCUGAUCAGCUAGUUACGAUUUAAAGAAGAUAGAUUUUUUACCUCUUGUGUAGGUGGUUUAUCCAUUUGACAGAAAGCAAGGUGUAGCAAAUUAUAGUUUUAGAAAGCAACUAGCUGAUCCCACAUAAUUUGAAUUUGUAAUGUUGUCACUAUGGUUAUUUUUUUAUGAGAUUUGAUUUGUUGCGGUGGAAAUAAACUGCCAUUAUUUUUUUAAAUAUUAAUAUCAUAUUGCGGUGGUUAUAAACCCCCACAUAUUUUUUUUUAUAUAUUUGAGUGAUAUCGUAGGGGUUUAAAAACACUCUCAAUUUUUUUUGAACCAUUAUAAUCAUAGGGGUUUAUAAACCACCACAGUAUUUUUUUUUUGACAUCUUGAAAUCAUAUUACGGGGAUUCUAAGCUGCCACUAAUUAUCUUCAAGAACUCCCACAAGUUCAAAAUUCAUUUUGUGGCGUUUUAUAAACCCUCGCAAUAUUUUUUUUCUUUGGCACAUCAAAAUCAUAUUGCGAGAGUUUUAGACUAGCAUUAAUUAUCUUUUAAACCCCUACAAAUUAAAAAUACAUUUUGUGGCGGUUGUCAUGGAGGUUUUAAAAAUCCGCCACAAUAAUGCUUGUGGCAAAGGUAACUGCGGCACUUCUAGAAACCGUCACAAUUCUAUUUGUGCCAGUCAAAAACUGUCACAAUUUGACCAAAAAACUCCUACAAAAUACUUGUCUUCUUGUAGUGCCUUGUUCACUGCUUUCCUCCCCAUCUCUCUUGUAUUUCUUCUUCUAUUUCUUCUCUUUCGCUCUCCUAGUGUAGCAAAAGUUCUUGCAGAUUUUGCAAAAGAAUCAGUGGGAUGAAAAGAUAAGGUUGAUCUCAUAUCACAGAAAAUCAGAAGCAAAUACUAAGAGAGAAAAAAUACAUUUCAACUUUAUUUUUCUUCUCUGUUUUUUGUUGGUUGGAUUGAAUGAGCUGGUAUGAUUGAAAUUGGUUGAAAAUAUCUAAACUAGCAUAUGUACAAGAUUUGAGCAAGAUUAGAAGCGAUUUAGACUUGUUUUAGGUUAAAAAUCAGGCCUAAAAAUCUACUACGACAUGUAUACAUCAUGUUGUAUAUCGUGUACAUUAAUGUAUAUCACACAUAGGUUUUUAAGGACGUCUGUAUAUAUCACUUUGUAUGUCGUAUAUAUAACAUAAUUUUUUUACGGACGCCCAUGUAUAUCAUAUUGUAUAACAUAUAUAUAAUAUAAAUUUUUAUGGAUAUAUGCAGAUACGCAUGAUAUACAUGAGAUAUACUGAUGUACAUAGAGAUAUAUACGGAAUAUAAUUACCAAAAAAGAAGAAGAUCUACACGGGAUACAAUAGGGGAUACACAUGUGGAGUCGUCUUGAACUUGAGUUUUAAUCUGAAAUGUGUUAUACAAAGAAGGAAAAUAAAAUUUUAAUAUUUAUUUGACAUUAUUAUUAUUAUUAUUAUUAUUAUUAUUAUUAUUAUUAUUAUUAUUAUUAUUAUUAUAUACUCUGUGAUAUAUGUCACACCCCUUUUUUGAACAGAACCUCUACUAAACCCUCUUAAAAUAAAUAAAAGAGAUUUAGCAUGGCUUGAAAAGGGUUUUUAAUUUUGAAAGUGACAAAAAUUUGUUCAAAAGGAAAUAACUCAGAGUCGCCACCUGGCACUUGAUUUCGAUGUGCCAGGUCACCAUUUUUUUUUCACAACAUAAUUUUCCUUUUAAAACUCUUAGGACUCCAAAGUAAGUCUGCACCAGAAAUUCGGGUAAGGGGAUUCAUUUGACUCGGGGAGAAGGUGUUAGGCACUCCCCAAGACCUGUGAAAGUCACGGUUAUGUACUUGAUCUAGUUUGCUUUUAAAAUAUUUAAUUGAGGUAACAAACAUAGAAAAGGAAAAAUAAACACAGAAGAGGCUCAAGGUCGUCCCUUCCUAAAAGAACAAAAUAAAUAAAAUAUAGUAAGUCUUCAUAGCUUAUACUACGCCUUCAUUGAUGAUGCCAAGAUUCCAUUUACAUUUACUUCGGGGCAUUCCCCGGGUUAACAUAUUUACAAAGUCCACGGAGCAUUCCCUGGAUGAAUUAUCUAAGGGACAACCUCUCACCUCGAAACCAAAAGCAAAUGAAAAUCCUAAAGCUUGCCUAUCUGAGUGUUGCCGGCCUAAAACAUACUCCUAACGAUCCAAACACACCGUAUGCAUGAAUUAAUAACUAAAAGAAGUGUAUUCUAAAUUGAAGUAUGAUUGAAAUUAUCCUCCUGCCGGCAUGGAAGCUCAUUUUAUUUUGUACUUCCUUCUUUUAAAUUUCUAGCCUACUAUUACAUAACUCAUUCAUCUACUUAUGUAUCUAAUUAAAAUUAAAAGAUCCUACUGUGUUCACUUGAACCAUUUAGCCUAUUCAAAAAUAUGAAAUCAACAGGUAUAAAAAGAUAACAUAGACCUUCGGGUAUAAAAGCAGUUCAAGCAUUAAGAGUAAUUAAAGCAAACAUAGAAUUAGAAACUUUGCUAAGAUGAUCAAUUAAAGAAAUAUCAAAUCAUAUAGAAGAAGCAGAGAUGAAGGGAGAACCUGAAUUGAAGGAUUUGUUUUACUAUUUUAAAACCCAACGACGAGCGGAACCGGAAUCGAAAGAUGCUUGCCGGAACUCGACGAACCUCGGACCUCAGACGACACUCCGAAUCAAGCUGAAAUAGCAGUCGGAUUCAAACAGACUCUGUUGUUUGAAGCAAAAAAAAAUGAACGAAGAAACUGAAAUGUUUUCUGUCUUCCUCAUUUUCUACUUGUGCUUGCAUGUGUGUGUUCCCGUGUAUUUAUGUGCACAUGUGUGUAACUGAUAGUUUUAGAGAGAUAAAAUUGGGGCGCCUGGAUGGUGAUGAUAGCUGUUGGUGGUUACCGAAGGGUCUGUCGGUUUGAUGGUGUGAAGAAGAUGAAGAACGGCGCUGGAGUGAGUUCUUUUGUUGAUGAAGAUGGCUGCUUAGGGGUGAGGGUGUUAAUGCGACUGUUGUUGGUUGUUUGUGUAUGGAGGUGGUUGAAUUCCGGUGUGACGGCCCGAGAUAGGCGGCUGGAGAUGGCGAAGAUGACUGGCGCCUGGAAGCGGCGGCUAUGGCAGUGAGAGUGGGUCUCGCGGCGGCGACUUAGGGUGUAACUUGUCUAGGUUUCGGCCUAGGGUUUUGUUGUUGUUGAAGGUUGAAGAAGAUAGGGCAGCCAUGGUUCUUGUGUCUCAGGUUUCUUGUUAAGUUUCCCUAGGUUUUUUUAAAAUAAAAUCUGAUGGGUUCUUUUUGUUAGGGGUAUGGACUUAUGGGUUAGAGAAGAGAAAUAAUUGGGCCUUAGUAUUGGGCUAAGAGAAAUAAA
rnacentral:lncRNA from 1 species